GAGGAAAAGAAACCAACAGGGAUUGCCCUAGUAACGGCGAGUGAAGCGGCAACAGCUCAAAUUUGAAAUCUGGCUUCGGCCCGAGUUGUAAUUUGUAGAGGAAGCUUUUGGCGAGGCACCGACUGAGUCCCCUGGAACGGGGCGCCAUAGAGGGUGAGAGCCCCGUAUAGUCGGACGCUGAGCCUCUGUAAAGCUCCUUCGACGAGUCGAGUAGUUUGGUGAAUGCUGCUCAGAAUGGGAGGUAAAUUUCUUCUAAAGCUAAAUAUUGGCCAGAGACCGAUAGCGCACAAGUAGAGUGAUCGAAAGAUGAAAAGCACUUUGAAAAGAGGGUUAAAUAGCACGUGAAAUUGUUGAAAGGGAAGCGCUUGUGACCAGACUUGCGCCUGGCCGAUCAUCCGGGGUUCUCCCCGGUGCACUCGGCCAGGCUCAGGCCAGCAUCGGUUCUCUUGGGGGGACAAAGGUCCCGGGAACGUAGCUCCCUCCGGGGAGUGUUAUAGCCCGGGGCGUAAUGCCCUCGAGGGGACCGAGGACCGCGCUUCGGCAAGGAUGCUGGCGUUACGGUCAUCAGCGACCCGUCUUGAAACACGGACCAAGGAGUCAAGGUUUUGCGCGAGUGUUUGGGUGUAAAACCCGCACGCGUAAUGAAAGUAAACGUAGGUGAGAGCUUCGGCGCAUCAUCGACCGGCCCAGAUGUUCUCGGAAGGGCCUGAGUAGGAGCGUUAAGCCUUGGACCCGAAAGAUGGUGAACUAUGCUUGGAUAGGGUGAAGCCAGAGGAAACUCUGGUGGAGGCUCGCAGCGGUUCUGACGUGCAAAUCGAUCGUCAAAUCUGAGCAUGGGGGCGAAAGACUAAUCGAACCAUCUAGUAGCUGGUUAC
rnacentral:rRNA from 1 species